CCUACGGGAGGCAGCAGUGAGGAAUAUUGGUCAAUGGACGCAAGCCUGAACCAGCCAUGCCGCGUGCAGGAAGACGGCUCUAUGAGUUGUAAACUGCUUUUGUACGAGGGUAAACGCAGAUACGCGUAUCUGUCUGAAAGUAUCGUACGAAUAAGGAUCGGCUAACUCCGUGCCAGCAGCCGCGGUAAUACGGAGGAGUCAAGCGUUAUCCGGAUUUAUUGGGUUUAAAGGGUGCGUAGGCGGUCGGUUAAGUUAGAGGUAAAAUCCCGGGGCUCAACCCCGGCGAGCCGUUGAAACUGGCUGUCUUGAGAUGGCGAGAGGUAUGCGGAAUGCGCAGUGUAGCGGUGAAAUGCUUAGAUAUUGCGCAGAACUCCGAUUGCGAAGGCAGCAUACCGGCGGCGAUCUGACGCUGAGGCACGAAAGCGUGGGUAUCGAACAGGAUUAGAUACCCUUGUAGUC
rnacentral:rRNA from 1 species